GUCUUUGUAGUACACUAAAUACGCUGGUCUUGUAAACCAGAAAAGGAGUGCAACCAACCUCCCUAAGACU
rnacentral:tRNA from 1 species